UUCACAAAGCAAACUGUUUGUCAAACUGUUGAUCUGCCUGAUGGCUGUUUUAGAAGAUAUGGUGACUGAGUUUUAGAGAGUACUAGCCGGCUCAUGCAGCUUGUUUUUACUAGAUGGCUGUCCUAAAAGUACAUAUCUUUAAAAUAUGAAUAAAUACGUACAAUUCCAUAAUUAUUCGAUCCAACGGUUAUAGAAGUUUUGUAAUAAUGCAAUUCAGGUAUUUUAUAUUUUCUGGACUAAAGGAGGAUUUCAGUUCAACACCUGUGGUUUCUUAAUUUUUUUCCCACUUAGUUCCACUACUGCUGUGGAUUUUAUAGUCAAUGUUUAAAGCCAACAGAGUCUGAAGCGAUGGAGGAAAUUUACGUCAAUAUGGAACCUGUUGGAAAAACUGCAUCUAAUCACACAGGUUGGAGCAGCUCCAAAGAGAGGCUCUGCCUCCGUGCGGCUGUCUGUUUGGGAAUCCUGAAUGUUUUACUUUUGGCUGAACUCAUCGC